rnacentral:tRNA from 1 species
CAUUAUGAAGCUAAUUUAGCAUUAACCUUUUAAGUUAAAGACUAGGAAUUUAAACUUCCUCAUAGUGA